UUAUUCAAAAAUUGAUUGACAUGUUAAUAACAGGUGAAAAUGGGGCCACAGUGUCAACAAAAAUAAUCUUAACAAAACACUUAGCACUUAACUGAGCACUCCCCUCCUAACAUCAGAAGAAAACUUAUUGAAUUUAAAGUAGAAAUGGAAGAUUCACAUCCCUGGAGCCAUCAGGAAACGAGAUGUUUAUUGGCGUUUUGGGGUGACAGCACUGUCCAAGCAAAACUGGACAGUUCCUAAAGAAAUAGAUCAAUUUAUGAAGACAUCUCAAAACAAAUGGAAGAAUAAGGUUGGAUGCAGACCUGGCUGCAAUGCCAACGGAAAUUAAAACAUCUAAAAGUGGCUUAUCAUAAAGCUAAAGACAAUAAUAACAAAAAUGGGCAGUCAAGCACAACUUGCCUAUUUUUUGAGGAGUUGGACGAGAUACUCUACAACCGCCCAACGUUGCAGCCUACUUUAACACUACACAGUGCAGAGCCAGCCACCGACAGUGACACAAACUCAAUUUCAAACAAUAAAGAGGAUUCUCUGAACACAACAUCAGGAGGAAGAGGACAAUGGUCCAUCCACAACUCCUGUCAACCACCCUUCCACUCAGCCCACAUUCAGUCCAGAUGAUAUGCCAUGCUGUAGCAAAGGCAAGAGACCCCCUGCAAAGGAAACAGGUGGCAGUGCUGGAUGCAACCGGAGAAAAAAAUCCAAAUUUUGACUCAUCACUUGAAACAUUUGCAAAGGCUUUCACAUCCAUUUCAAAAACUGACAAUGACCAUCAGCGUAAACUACAGGCAGCACAACAUGAACAUGAGAUAGCUUUGUUUGGAAUGUUAAUGCAGUGUAUAACUACACAAUUACAAAAUCCACAGCAUUCACAGCAAGACAUCUCCACACAUCAGAAGCCAACUUCCUUUUCUGCAUCCGUACAUGCACCAUGGACAACCAUACCAACAACCUUGUUCACCAUAUGAUAAUAGGAUGCCAUUUUCCCAGCAACCUCCCUCCCAAGAUCAUGGAUCACCGAACGGUCCUUCCUCCAGCUUCUGGGGCAGUUUGAACCCCCCGUGCCAGCACCUAUGCCUCCACCUUCUCAGCACAACCCAAAGCCACAGGAGGAAAAAGAAGAGAAAAGGAAAGGAAUGUACAAGGUCUGGUUGACAAGUGAUCAAAGUUAACACAAGGAGUUUUGAUGGUGUUCUUUUUGAAGAGGGACAAAUUGGUUUAAAUGUCUUGCUCUUUUAAUAAAAUUUUGAUUGUUCAAUAUUUGCAAUAUUUUGAUAUUAAUAUUCUUUUAUGGUAUGUUCAAAACAGUUUUGCACUUUAGAUGAAAAUUCAGCAUGUAUGUUAAAAUGUUUUUCUCCCAUUUAUAAAGGUUUGUUAUCCAGCAUUUUUCUAUCGAGUGUAAGAGUAUACCAGUAGUUUAUU